AGUAAUGUAUAGGAAUCUACCUAGUAGUACGGAAUAAUUGUUGGAAACGGCAACUAAUACCGUAUACGCCCUACGGGGGAAAGAUUUAUCGCUAUUAGAUGAGCCUAUAUUAGAUUAGCUAGUUGGUAAGGUAAUGGCUUACCAAGGCAAUGAUCUAUAGCUGAUCUGAGAGGAUGAUCAGCCACACUGGAACUGAGAUACGGUCCAGACUCCUACGGGAGGCAGCAGUGGGGAAUAUUGGACAAUGGGCGAAAGCCUGAUCCAGCCAUGCCGCAUGAGUGAAGAAGGCCUUUGGGUUGUAAAGCUCUUUCGGUGAGGAAGAUAAUGACGGUACUCACAGAAGAAGUCCUGGCUAACUCCGUGCCAGCAGCCGCGGUAAUACGGAGAGGGCUAGCGUUAUUCGGAAUUAUUGGGCGUAAAGAGCGCGUAGGCUGGUUAGUAAGUUAAAAGUGAAAUCCCAAAGCUCAACUUUGGAAUUGCUUUUAAAACUGCUAACCUAGAGAUUGAAAGAGGAUAGAGGAAUUCCUAGUGUAGAGGUGAA
rnacentral:rRNA from 1 species